CCUACGGGACGCAGCAGUGGGGAAUAUUGCACAAUGGGGGAAACCCUGAUGCAGCGACGCCGCGUGAGUGAAGAAGUAAUUCGUUAUGUAAAGCUCUAUCAGCAGGGAAGAAAAUGACGGUACCUGAGUAAGAAGCCCCGGCUAACUACGUGCCAGCAGCCGCAGUAAUACGUAGGGGGCAAGCGUUAUCCGGAUUUACUGGGUGUAAAGGGGGCGCAGACGGCAGCGCAAGCCAGGAGUGAAAGCCCGGGGCCCAACCCCGGGACUGCUCUUGGAACUGCGCGGCCGGAGUGCAGGAGGGGCAG
rnacentral:rRNA from 1 species